CUCCUUAAUGCCUUGCCAGCUGGAAGGAAAAGAGCCUCUUGCAUUGCCCACAAAGGAAGCAGAGAUUGAGGGGAGAAGAACUGGAGAAAUUAAAAAAGUGGAAAGAGACAGCAACACAAAUAAAGAGGUUGAGUACCAGUAGAAACCUCAUAUUUACCUGGAAGAUUACUUUUAGGAAGCUUGAAGAAUUCUCUCUUCCAACUUGGUUGGAUUUCCUGUAAGAUUUUAAAUGAAGAAAGUCUUCUACUGCUGUAUAAAGAAAAAAAAAAGAAGAAGAAAGGGAUGGAUCUCACUAUGUUGCCAAGGCUGGCUCGAGAACUCCUGGGCUCAACCAAUCCUCCUGCCUCAGCCUCCCAAAUAGCUGGGACUACAGAAUGGACUUUUCAUCCAUGUGGCUGUGAUCAGUUCCUAAAGCAGAGGAAUCUGCAGCCUAAUGACACAUCAGGAAUUGAUGGAACCCCAGCAGACAGCUUCUAUGAGGUGUGUGGGUGGCGGAUGUGAAAUCAAUAAAAAAAAAAAAAAGAAUAAUUUUUUUUGUUGUUUUUGUUCACUGUCAUGUACAUUAAAGCAUGUAGGCCUCUUCCAGUGUAUAUGUGUAACUUUCACAGUAAAACCUGGAUGAAAAAUCAAUAGAAAUUUAGAAUCUUUCUUCAUAGGAACUGUAUGAUUACUUUGGCAGGAGGAAAAAUAAACAUGUGAAAACAACCUCAAGUCAAUAAAAUGUAUGAUCAGUAACAUAUGAUGAGUAUAUAAGUUAUAGCAUGGGUAAUGUUGAUUCUAGCUAAUUACCUUUGAAAUUGAGGCAGGGCAAAACCAAUUAUGAGCUAGAGUUCAUAAGUAACUCCAAGAACUCCAAGUUGAAAAUCUCAAGGAGAGAGGAUUGCACAUUGGUAGUCCUGUGGAAUAGAGAAGAGAGAAGUCAUUCCAGGCAGAGGAAUGACAGGCAGAGGGGAAUUUUGGGUAACUAGACUGGGCUCAUUCUAAGUGAGCAGCACAUGCAGUUACAAAGACAUCAACACUCUUGUGUCUCCUGCUGCAGAGGUCUUGAUGCUGUGAAUGAUGACUAAUAUAUCUUUGGGUCUCCGAAGUGACUGAUUUAAUUCUAUCAUUUUUGGAGGCAAGGCUUUAUUAUAAGCUACACGAAUAACUUCAAAAAAGGAUUAAAUUAACUGUGCAUUAUUUACUGCAAGUGCAUUUCUCUGGUAUAAAUCUGUCUUAUUUAUGCAUUAGGAUGAGAAAACAGUUUAUUGCCAUUAUAUAUUGUUUAGGGCUGAAGGUUACAAUCUGUCACAAUAUCUCUUCAAAUCCAAAUUCUGGCUAAUUAAUUCUUUUUAUGAUAAAUUUUAUUUUAUGCUUCAAUUAUAUUUUAUUUUAUAAAAUAUUAAUGUAAUAAAUGAAUAUAAUAA
rnacentral:lncRNA from 1 species